rnacentral:rRNA from 1 species
AUGAAAAUUAUAGCAUGGAACUGUUGGGGGCUUGGGAACCCCGCGCCAGUUCGAAGCCUUUUGGAAUUACAGAAGGCAGAAGAUCCUGAUGUGCUCUUUCUCUCUGAAACUAAAAGCUAUGAGAGGGAGAUGGAGCAUUUGAGGUGGAAUCUUGGUAUGCCAAACAUGGUGGUGAAAGAUCCGGAAGGUCGUCGGGGAGGACUCGCUCUCUUUUGGCGAAGGGGAGUGGAUGUACGACUACGGUGGAAGGAUAAAUACUUUAUAGAUGCGGUGGUGAUGGAGGAAAAUGGAGUGCAGUGGCGGUUGACGGGCUUGUAUGGGGAGUCCAAAGCGGGGGAGAAAGGAAAUACGUGGAAGGCAUUGAAGUCAUUGAAGGGGUAG